rnacentral:rRNA from 1 species
GACGAACGCUGGCGGCGUGCUUAACACAUGCAAGUCGAACGGAAAGGCCCUGCUUUUGUGGGGUGCUCGAUUGGCGAACGGGUGAGUAACACGCGAGUAACCUGCCCUUGACUUUGGGAUAACUUCAGGAAACUGGGGCUAAUACCGGAUAGGAGCUCCUGCUGCAUGGUGGGGGUUGGAAAGUUUCGGCGGUUGGGGAUGGAUUCGCGGCUUAUCAGCUUGUUGGUGGGGUAGUGGCUUACCAAGGCUUUGACGGGUAGCCGGCAUGAGAGGGUGACCGGCCACAUGGGGACUGAGAUACGGCCCAGACUCGUACGGGAGGCAGCAGUGGGGAAUAUUGCACAAUGGGCGGAAGUCUGAUGUAGCAACGCCGCGUGCGGGAUGACGGCCUUCGGGUUGUAAACCGCUUUCGCCUGUGACGAAGCGUGAGUGACGGUAAUGGGUAAAGAAGCACCGGCUAACUACGUG